GAGUUUGAUCAUGGCUACAGGACGAACGCUGGCGGCGUGCUUAACACAUGCAAGUCGAACGAGAAGAGAAGGAAGCUUGCUUCUUUCUAAAUCUAGUGGCGAACGGGUGAGUAACACGUAAACAACCUGCCUUCAGGAUGGGGACAACAGACGGAAACGACUGCUAAUACCGAAUACGUUCCUUAGGGUCGCAUGAUCUUGGGAAGAAAGGUGGCCUCUACCUGUAAGCUAUCGCCUGAAGAGGGGUUUGCGUCUGAUUAGGUAGUUGGUGAGGUAACGGCCCACCAAGCCGACGAUCAGUAGCCGGUCUGAGAGGAAGGUCCCCCACAUUGGAACUGAGACACGGUCCAAACUCCUACGGGAGGCAGCA
rnacentral:rRNA from 1 species